AUCAGACCCACCUGGAGGACAGACCACAGCCAGGCUCCUGGUCUUGAGCCAGGCCACCUAAAUAUGUCAUGAAUCCAGGUGCAGCAAGAGACAGGUGCACCACUCCGGGAACAACUUAGAAGUCAUCACCUCAUACCUAUGAUCAUUGUCAUCUGUCUCCACAAUCCUCCAGACCAGCCGCCUAACUGGGUGGGAAGAGAAACUCCAGUUGUGGCAUAUGGGACGCUGCCUCAGCGUGGUCUGAUGAGCAGUGCCAUGUCCGCGCCCAGGAUUCGAACCAACGAAACACUGGGCCGCCUGCAGCGGAGCGCGCGAACUUAACCGCUCGG
rnacentral:lncRNA from 1 species